rnacentral:lncRNA from 1 species
AGUCUUCUUGUUUCUCUUCUUGACUGUGUGGCACUGGCAUACUCUCAGUCAUAUGCUGAACAAUCAUAGAGAGAGUUGAUGGUCUUCCCUGUUCCCAGUCUUAAAGGGAAAACAUUCAGUUUUUCGUCAUUAAGAUGUCAGCGUAUGUUUUCUAUACUUGUUCUUUAUCAAGCAGCUCUGAGGAAAUUGACUUCUCAAGGACAGAACUCUUUGCAAGGACCUCUUCAAAUGAAACAAACAGACUUCUAAAAUGUCAUUUGAAUCAAGAGUAGACCAGCUCUUUAAAAAUAUAUUAGAAUUUGUUGACUACAGAAUACAAACUAAACUUCAGAGGAUGAUUGGACUGAAUACAGAAGUGUGCACAAGGUAAUAAACAAAGGAAAUGUUAUGAUACACUGAGACUGAUUUUCUUUAUUUGAAACACUUUUAAGAAUGUGUUCAUAUGCAUUUUGAACUUUAAAAAGAUAGAAAAGAUCUUCACAUUUUAUUCACUUUAAAGGUUCUCUUGGAGGACAGAAGAAACCUUUUUU